rnacentral:misc_RNA from 1 species
GUCUUCUGUUAAAUUUUCAUAUUGAAGUUGUAAGCCGCAAAGGUAAAUAAAUAAAAAAAGAGAGGACAGUUGAUUUUCAGCCUCGCGCUGUAUAUCUUUACUGCUUAUUCAUGUAUGUAUGUACAAACCAACUGACUAGCCUAACAACGUGUUCUGGUGGUGGGUGUUCUUUGGUCUAGCCACCAUUCUACUGUGCUCUGUGCUGUUCAAGAUGGCUGAGAGCGCGGAUCGCAAAUUUCGGCGUGAAAUUAAUCGGCGCGUCAAUGCUAGUUUUCAGCUUAUUGACAGUGAGGCCGAUGUCAUAAAUGACACGCGGUACGUUGACCGAGAUUCCCGCAACGCCGAAAGAGAGAGCGACUUGCCCUCCGAGGCUUGUGCGGUCGACCUCGAAGACGGCCAUCGUCGCCUUUGUGUUCAUGACAGAGAACGGCCUUCGGCACACUCCUCGAUCGUUCCAGAAACGGAUGUGCCCCAAGGACACGUUUUGAUUUCUGGCGACGCGUGCUACCCCAGCGGCUGCAGUGUUUCUGUGCCUCACGAUCACACAGACUUCGAACGGCGUGCCUUCCAUGACAGCAGCGCUGCGGCUUCGACUUCGGCGACCUCGCAGGUGAGGCAGAGGGAUUCUUUCGAAUUGGCACCGACUGGGAGUAACGAAGAGCAAGUUUGUGAACGCGGCAGUGUGGACAGCUUGCUGGCCUUUCGUGAGAGACUGCAAGCGUGGGCCUUACAAUCUCGCGCAUCGCACACUUCAGUUACAUCGCUCUUGAGAGUACUACAGUCCCACGAAUGCUUCAGCGCGCUCCCUUCAACUGCAAGGGCAUUGUUACAGACGCCCAAGAAGUGCCUGGAAGUGUUGCAGCUGGCCGGCGGGAAAUACCAUCAUUUCGGCCUCAGUGCAGGCCUACAGCGAGUGCUGCAAGAUUGUGCAGAACUACCAAGAAUUUUGAAGCUUAGCUUCAACAUUGACGGUCUGCCGGUUUCAAAAAGUUCACGGGGCCAAUUUUGGUGCAUACUGGGACGCAUAAGUAAUUUGGAGGACAAAGCACCAUUUAUAGUGGGUGUUUUUUUCGGAAGCAGCAAGCCCAACAACGCGAAUGAUUUUUUGCGACCAUUUGUUUGUGACAUAAAUGCUGCUAUCACAACAGGGAUUACCAUUGGAGAAACUGCAAUUCCUGUUAGCUUGUAUGCCCUCAUAUGUGAUGCACCAGCAAAGGCAUUUGUAUUAUAUGUCAGAAGCCACACAGGCUAUUACAGCUGCACCAAAUGUGACGUAAAAGGUGUCUACUGUGAGGGCAGGGUGUGCUUCCCAAACUUCAUGAACACGUCUUUACAGAAUACGUGCGUCAACUCAUGCGAAUUUCGCAAACUAUCCUGAUGAGGCUAGAGCAGCUGGGACGACAGGUUGAUGCCAUGCAGCAGCACCUUUUCAACACAACAGUGAGGCUUCAAGAUGAGACAAAUGAUGAUGUGGUUUUGACACCGGUCAAGGAUAUUGACCAAUUUCUAAGUCUUGAGGGGAGACUUGCUGCUGAUGGCAACAUUAAGCUAAAGCUUAUACAGCAGCUUGCUGGCCUUGGUGGCUCAACUUUGGGGCAGCAGCCAGGAGGAUGCUGGAGCUUCUGCUAAGCCUUGAGGUUGCUGUGCAGUUCAGCUGGGCAGGCCAAAAAGGCAAAAGGAAGUUUGUGGAUCUAGGUGUCACAGAUGUCAUUUGCAAGGCCGUGAGGCGAAAUUUUCCGGAAACAAAAAAAAAUGACAUCGAGUGUGUGAUUAAAGUGUGGCUUCGGCAUGCUGGGGAAAAGCUCCAGAAGCAGCGCUUAAGAACUUCUCGCACUCACCAUGAGGAAUGUCUUCAAAGUGUCGCGUUGUCAAGCCCAUCGGAUGAAGACCUCUGAAGGCACAGGGCAAGAAGUCUCAUCUAGUGAAAACUGCCAAGUUUCAUUCCUGAAAAUAAACAUGUUUUCUGUGCA